ACAGGGAUUGCCUCAGUAACGGCGAGUGAAGCGGCACAAGCUCAAAUUUGAAAUCUGGCUCUCUCGGGGCCCGAGUUGUAAUUUGUAGAAGAUGCUUGGGGUGUGGCACCGGUCUAAGUCCCCUGGAACGGGGCGUCAUAGAGGGUGAGAAUCCCGUAUGUGACUGGAUGCCUACGCCCGUGUCAAGCUCUUUCGACGAGUCGAGUUGUUUGGGAAUGCAGCUCAAAAUGGGUGGUAUAUUUCAUCUAAAGCUAAAUAUUGGCCAGAGACCGAUAGCGCACAAGUAGAGUGAUCGAAAGAUGAAAAGCACUUUGGAAAGAGAGUUAAACAGUACGUGAAAUUGCUAAAAGGGAAGCGCUUAUGGCUAGACUUGGUGGUGGUGGAGCAAUCCGCUGCUACUGGGCCGGCACCAGUUCGCGUUGGGGGGUAAAGGCAGUGGGAACGUAGCUCCUCCGGGAGUGUUAUAGCCCGCUGUGUAAUACCCUGGUGCGGACUGAGGCUCUCGCUUCGGCAAGGGUGCCGGCGUAAUGGCCAUCAGCGGCCCGUCUG
rnacentral:rRNA from 1 species